rnacentral:tRNA from 1 species
AGUGUCAAGGGAUGGGAAUCGAACCCACGACCUUCCGCUUACCAGGCAGAUGCCAUGACCACUAGGCCACAUGACC